rfam:Colwellia sp. MT41, complete genome.
CAUCAAGGCUAAAUUAGUGUUUGGCUUGAUGCGUUUUUUAAUUACCUUUAACUCAAUAAUAUUGAGGGAAGGGUUAACACACUAAGGAUUUUUUAUGUCUUUAAAUGCUUCACAAAAAGCUGCAAUCGUUGCAGAAUAUGCUCAAUCAGAA